UCAGUUCAGGACCCCCGCCCCCUACCUUGCUCGCCGCUCCCUGCCAGUUCCGCGGGUUGAGGGGAUCCCUUCGCUUCCCUGGCCACAACACAGAGCUCACUUUAUGGAGCUCUUUUGGUUUGUUUCUUAAUUUGGAAGUGGGGAAUACGUACGCGAUCCUGAAUGCUGCCUGCCGCUUUGUUGCAUACAUAGAUUGUGCCUUUCCGGGGGAGAUGCUUAGAUUGUUUAGCUUGCUGGUAGGUUGAAUCAUGGCUUGGAGCUAGCUGCAGGUCAACGGUUGGGAGGCACCAAACGGUGAGUGAUCCCGACAGUGAUGUGUACCUCCCUUGCUUACUGCGUGGACCCUGUUUAUUGUUCAGAGUUGAGAGUUUAAUUUGCUCCAUACGCAUGCAUACACUUGGUGAUGCUGCUGAAUGAAUGAAUGUGUGUGUGGGUGGGUGCAGGAGGUGUCUGUGCAAGGGCAGGACAAGGUGUACAAGGACGUGAUCGACCCCGCCGUCCGCGAGUGGACCUCAAGACUGUUGUGUACCACGCCAAUGACGUCCUCGAUGACUUCCGCAAUGAGGUGUUGCACCACCGUGCAACCCAGAUCUGCCGCCGCUGCUCCACUGCUCGCAAGGUGGCAGGCUUGUACGACAUCACGAGCAGGAGGGCCAUGAGGGGUUUGCUGCUCUGCUCCUAGGGCGAACAAGAGGUCCUGCCCCGAGCUCAAGCAUGUCCACGCCGACCCACCACGGCAGUUGCAUGUUUUUUUGGCGGUCCAGAUGACCAAGCCCAAGGAGGAAGCAGCUUCUCAUCACUGAGGACAAGUAACUCUAGCAGGUUGACGCCGUAGAUUCUCAAUGUACCUUCUAUAUGCCCAUCCAGUUCUGUGAUUUGUCUCUUGAAACCCAGAAAACCCCAUGCCCAUGUGGGAGCUGAACCAUAGUUUUUUGCUUGUGGAAAAUAAUAUCCUUGGCUGAAUCGA